AACGAACGCUGGCGGUGUGCCUCAUACAUGCAAGUCGUACGCGAAUCCUGCCGCAAGGCAGGGUUUGAGUGGCAAACGGGUGCGUAACACGUAGGUAAUCUUCCUUUGAGUUGGGGAUAAGCCCUCGAAAGGGGGUCUAAUACCGAAUAACACUUCGGGCCGGCAUCGGCCUGAAAUUAAAGAUGGCCUCUGCUUGCAAGCUAUCGCUCGGAGAUGAGCCUGCGGCCGAUUAGUUAGUUGGCGGGAUAAAGCCCACCAAGACUUCGAUCGGUAGCCGGUCUGAGAGGAUGUCCGGCCACACUGGGACUGAGAUACGGCCCAGACUCCUGCGGGAGGCAGCAGUAGGGAAUAUUGCGCAAUGGCCGCAAGGCUGACGCAGCAACACCGCGU
rnacentral:rRNA from 1 species